GAAAUGCGAUAAGUAAUGUGAAUUGCAGAAUUCAGUGAAUCAUCGAAUCUUUGAACGCACAUUGCGCCCGCCAGUAUUCUGGCGGGCAUGCCUGUUCGAGCGUCAUUUCAACCAUCAAGCCCCCGGCUUGUGUUGGGGACCUGCGGCUGCCCGCAGGCCCUGAAAAACAGUGGCGGGCUCGCUGUCACACCGAGCGUAGUAGCAUACAUUCUCGCUCAGGGCGUGCUGCGGGUUCCGGCCGUUAAACGACCUUCAUAACCCAAGGUUGACCUCGGAUUAGGUAGGAAGACCCGCUGAACUUAAGC
rnacentral:misc_RNA from 1 species